AAAAAAAAAAAAAAAAAAAAAAAGUAAAGCCCUUCCUUAUCCCUUCUUCUGGAUAUUUUUUUUUCUUCUAUAUUUAUUAUUUUAUUCUGGAUAUUAUUAGAGUCUGGUGCUGGAUGGAAACUCUUAAGAGACUGUUCUAACUUUCACUAUACUAAAUAGCAAAACGAAAUCAAAGGAUUUGAUAUAUAUAUUUUUUUCAUAACUGGUGAAAAACUAACACUAUGUUCUUACUGAGAGUCUGACACUUUGAAGAGUAUCAUUUCUAGCCCAUGCACUGUGGUUUGCCUUCCCCCAGCUCUUCCAAGGGUGUUGGAGGAGUUUGUAUGUCCCUGUGGGCCCUUCCUUCUGCCUGUAACCCUUCCUAAAAUCUGCCCAUUGGGUCAGAAAAAAGGGGCAGGAAACCCUCCAGGGACCCUCAACCCAGGAAUGUAUACAUUCAGGCUAAAGUUAUUCUAUAGAAAUGGGAUAGGGCAGGAAGAAGUGUUGUGAAAGUCCUUGCAUGGUUACUUGUGACCUGCAAUGGCUUGAUUUACUAAGACAAAGAUCAAAUAUUUCAAUAUAAUUAAUUGUAAUUAGCACUCAGUGGUUUUAGGAGUUCAUUUCCAGCCCCAGUGAUCAAUCAGCUGUCACCGGGACUCAGCUGGGCUCCACAAGACGUCCUUUGAAGCCUUGCCAAGUGACAGCUUCAACCCCCUUGCACAGACCAUACAGUAAUUGCCUUCUCUUUUCAGUGCGGGAGAUACGCUUUGUUUGAAGGAGCUCCUCUGCCAUGCUUUUUGUGUGAUAUUCAAUGGAAAAACGCUCCGCAGCACAUGCCAGGAGGAAGCCUACAGGUGCUGUCUUUCACGGUGAAAUUUUUGGAGGGUGGCUGUGAAUUUUUUUUUCCCUUUUCCACAUUCCUGUUUGGGUUGCACAGUGACACAGGUGAACUGCAAGUCUCACUGACAACAGCUGAAAAUACUUGGUGAUUUGUGCUUCCAGCAGCUCAGAAAGGAGCUCCAUUUGGUGGCAGAAAACAAUUUGGCUCCAUGAGGUGGUGGAGGUCCAGAGAAGUAGCCAGUACUUCAUCCCCAUAGCCUUGCCCAUGGUUGUCCCAGAGAGCCUGGCCAAAGGAGCUUGAAGCAUUUCUGUGAGUCUACAUCGGCUCGGAAGCCAUGCAAGAUCUGUAGUAUGCACCAGAUCAGAGACAACUUCUGCAUCUGUGCCCUUCACUUCUGUCCCCAGUACCAGGGCCACGUGUGGAGGUCUUGGUGAAAUUGCUGCGGCUGCCUUUAAGAGCCAUAAAGUAAGUAACACAAGCAUCGCGCUCCAAAUGGUCCCAAAGGAGCUGCUUAGGAGUUCAAAAGUGCGUCUUGAAUUCGACAGGAGCAAAACUGGGCUUGUGAGUAGGUGUCCAGCUCCAGCUGGCUCUCACAGGGCUCAGCCCCACGCUGCUUUGUGGAGGAGAAAAUUGCAUUUUUAUUAGAUUAUUUUAACCAUUUUCAAAUAGCACCAGGGUGGCCCCAUGGCUUCCUCCCCAGUUUGGGUCUGCUCGUGGCUGGAAAGCCAAGAGAUUGUUAGCAGGAUCUCUGGCACUCACCCCAGUAUUUCAUUUUUUUGGACUACAACCCAUUCAUCCUUCAGCUAAUAUGCUACAGAGCAAAUAUCUGCUACGUUUUAUGUAAGCAGUAAUAGAACUGUUUGCCUAAAUUGUUUUCUUUUUUUUUCACCCUUUCCAAGAGGGAGGCAGAACAAAUGUUUAUCUUCCCCAGACCUAUAGUGCCUACCUUUAGGCACUUUUUUUUUUUUGGUCUCAUUUCUCCAUGAUACAGUCAAGCGUCCCCACAGAUGACCAAGCACAUUCCUUUAGAAAUGGAUUUACUGCUUGGUGACUGCAAUUCUUCUAGAAGCACACCCUGGAAAGCCUUUUUAGUACCUAAAAUGUGGGAUUUACUCAUCCUGGUGUGGGGAAGCAGGCUCCCAUGAUGGGACAGCCUCCCGAUUAGGAGUAAUCAGUCAGGUUAAUGAGCCAGGGACUAAUCCUUUGUAUUCCUUUGGAGCUACUCCAGCACCCCAAACGAUGUGAGGUGAAUGGGAGGUUUUAAUGAAUUACGGCCCCUCUUUCUCCUUCUUCUAUCCUCCAUCUCUUCAUCCUCCUUUUCCCACCCCUCCUCCUCCUCCUCACCAGGCCCUUGUUUCAUGGAGAGAGCAGAGGAGUUUUAAUCCCCCCAUAAAUCCCUGAUGCCCUAAAUCCCUCCCAGAGCUGGCAAUGGCAGGGAAAGUUUUGGAUGUGGUGAUGGGAUAGGGUGAGGUGGGGAGGACCUGCACAGGUGGGAAAUGAGGGUGGCAGGGUAUAAGGAGCCGUGGCUGCAGGGUGGUGGUGAUGCUUGCUGUGUGCUGUAUCUUCAUGGGUUUUGUGUAUUUACUUAUUUUUUUCUCUGUUAAAAUAGCUCACCUCCACCAGAGCAGAAAGCGGCUGUUUGUAUUUUCCUGUAUUGCAGCAGUGCUUCUGCGAAGUUUUGGGUGUUUUUUCCCUCCAGCAGGUAAGAUGAAACCAUACGCUUCAUCUAGGCAGGAUUAAUCUACUCUUAUCUCCUCCAGAAGGUCUGUCUGCAUAAAGGGGGUGAUGUGCUUUCCUUUUAGUAACCCAGAAGAGCACAAAGACCCCCUCACCAACACUAUAGCUUCCUCAGGUGGACACUGAGAGAAGAGAAAUACUUCACAGUGGCUAUAAUGUAGUUGAGUGGCAAAUGACUUCAUUAAGCUGGCAGUGAUAAUUAGUUCAAUCAGCUGAAGUGCGGCUCAGUACAGCACACUUCAGAGGAGCGUGGCGUGGCAGGGGCUGCUGCUGCUGGCUGGGAAAUCAUCCUCGGCCCGAUGCAUCUUCAGGCAGGGUGUCUUCCUGCUCCACCCGUCAUCUUUGCAAUUAAUUUCCUGCUUUAAUUAAUUCCCUGAUGCCACUCGGUGAGGCCAGGCUGAGCUUCUGGGAAGAAAUCACAGCUUAUCUGUGAUUCAAGCUGCAGGAAAAUGUCCCAUUCACCCCAAAACCCCAGUGACUUCUCUGCCUGAAAUCCCACCGUGCUGUGAGCCUACCCCAAGCACCUGGUGUCCCCGAGCCCCACCAGGGAACAGCAUGGGUCUGUGGUUGCCUUUCUCUUGAAGGGGG